rnacentral:lncRNA from 1 species
CAAAACCAUCCCUUUCCCUACACCAAAGGUUGGGAUACUGAAGGCAAGGGACAAGGGACCUCACAUUUUCUGUCCAUGCCAAACACUGUUCUCAUCACCAGACAUAAGACAGCAGGAUGUACUUAGGUCUCACCAUCUGUAGCCAAGAAAACAUUUGCUAACCUGGAGCAGAAGAACAGAACUCAAAGAGGGACAUCUCAGCUUUCAACCACUAAGGCAUGGUAUGCCAGUGGCAGAAGACAGCACAAACAGAAGGAUGAGAAGAGAGGAACUGAACUUUAAUAAAAAACAUUGAACAGG